rnacentral:misc_RNA from 1 species
AAUUCUCAACCUCACCAAUUUUCACAAAUUGUGUGUGGCUUGGAUGUGGGGGUUGCAGGUCCGCCUCGAGUGGUCUGCUCCUCUGAAAUGUAUUAGUGGGUUCCGUCCCCUAAUCUAUUGGUGUGAUAAUUAUCUACGCCGUGGAUCAGGAGACAUUUAGAGGACCUGCUUCUAACCGUCCCUUACAAGGACAACUUUGACAA